GACGAACGCUGGCGGCGUGCUUAACACAUGCAAGUCGAGCGGAAAGGCCCUUCGGGGUACUCGAGCGGCGAACGGGUGAGUAACACGUGAGUAACCUGCCCCAGACUUUGGGAUAACCCUCGGAAACGGGGGCUAAUACCGGAUACGACACAGCUUCGCAUGGGGUCUGUGUGGAAAGUUUUUCGGUUUGGGAUGGGCUCGCGGCCUAUCAGCUUGUUGGUGGGGUGAUGGCCUACCAAGGCGACGACGGGUAGCCGGCCUGAGAGGGCGACCGGCCACACGGGGACGAAGCGCGGCCCAGGACUCCACGGGGGGGAAGGGGGGGGAAGUAUGCAAGAGGGGCGGGGAGCCUGUGACGGCGCGCCGGGGGGGGGAAAACGGGCUUAGGGGUGAAAAACCUCUUUGGACGGAAAGAAGCGGAAAGGGACGGUACCUAAAAAGAAAGCCCCGGCAAACUACGUG
rnacentral:rRNA from 1 species